UACGGAGGAUGCAAGCGUUAUCCGGAAUUAUUGGGCGUAAAGCGUCCGCAGGUGGUUAUCCAAGUCUGCUGUUAAAGCGCGAGGCUUAACUUCGUACAGGCAGUGGAAACUGGAUGACUGGAGUAUGGUAGGGGUAGCGGGAAUUCCCAGUGUAGCGGUGAAAUGCGUAGAUAUUGGGAAGAACACCAGCGGCGAAAGCGCGCUACUGGGCCAUUACUGACACUCAUGGACGAAAGCUAGGGGAGCGAAAGGG
rnacentral:rRNA from 1 species